GAUGAACGCUGGCGGCGUGCCUAAUAUAUGCAAGUCGAGCGAACGGACGAGAAGCUUGCUUCUCUGAUGUUAGCGGCGGACGGGUGAGUAACACGUGGAUAACCUACCUAUAAGACUGGGAUAACUUCGGGAAACCGGAGCUAAUACCGGAUAAUAUUUUGAACCGCAUGGUUCAAAAGUGAAAGACGGUCUUGCUGUCACUUAUAGAUGGAUCCGCGCUGCAUUAGCUAGUUGGUAAGGUAACGGCUUACCAAGGCAACGAUGCAUAGCCGACCUGAGAGGGUGAUCGGCCACACUGGAACUGAGACACGGUCCAGACUCCUACGGGAGGCAGCAGUAGGGAAUCUUCCGCAAUGGGCGAAAGCCUGACGGAGCAACGCCGCGUGAGUGAUGAAGGUCUUCGGAUCGUAAAACUCUGUUAUUAGGGAAGAACAUAUGUGUAAGUAACUGUGCACAUCUUGACGGUACCUAAUCAGAAAGCCACGGCUAACUACGUGCCAGCAGCCGCGGUAAUACGUAGGUGGCAAGCGUUAUCCGGAAUUAUUGGGCGUAAAGCGCGCGUAGGCGGUUUUUUAAGUCUGAUGUGAAAGCCCACGGCUCAACCGUGGAGGGUCAUUGGAAACUGGAAAACUUGAGUGCAGAAGAGGAAAGUGGAAUUCCAUGUGUAGCGGUGAAAUGCGCAGAGAUAUGGAGGAACACCAGUGGCGAAGGCGACUUUCUGGUCUGUAACUGACGCUGAUGUGCGAAAGCGUGGGGAUCAAACAGGAUUAGAUACCCUGGUAGUCCACGCCGUAAACGAUGAGUGCUAAGUGUUAGGGGGUUUCCGCCCCUUAGUGCUGCAGCUAACGCAUUAAGCACUCCGCCUGGGGAGUACGACCGCAAGGUUGAAACUCAAAGGAAUUGACGGGGACCCGCACAAGCGGUGGAGCAUGUGGUUUAAUUCGAAGCAACGCGAAGAACCUUACCAAAUCUUGACAUCCUUUGACAACUCUAGAGAUAGAGCUUUCCCCUUCGGGGGACAAAGUGACAGGUGGUGCAUGGUUGUCGUCAGCUCGUGUCGUGAGAUGUUGGGUUAAGUCCCGCAACGAACGCAACCCUUAAGCUUAGUUGCCAUCAUUAAGUUGGGUACUCUAAGUUGACUGCCGGUGACAAACCGGAGGAAGGUGGGGAUGACGUCAAAUCAUCAUGCCCCUUAUGAUUUGGGCUACACACGUGCUACAAUGGACAAUACAAAGGGCAGCGAAACCGCGAGGUCAAGCAAAUCCCAUAAAGUUGUUCUCAGUUCGGAUUGUAGUCUGCAACUCGACUACAUGAAGCUGGAAUCGCUAGUAAUCGUAGAUCAGCAUGCUACGGUGAAUACGUUCCCGGGUCU
rnacentral:rRNA from 1 species